rnacentral:lncRNA from 1 species
CGUAUACCAAUUCAAUAAUAACACAUAUAUUGAUAGAUAUAGAGCGUAAGAUAGUCUUUCGUUUUGAGGUAAAACGAAUUAAUUACAGAUUAUAAUUAUACUAUAUACGCACAGGGGGCAGAAAAGUACGAUUGUGUUUAUUUAAAAUACCUUGUCAUCAACCAAUAUAUCGCAUAGUUUCAUCCAGGUUUCAUCACGAUGAAAAUUAUGUUGAUUUUCGAUAAUAUCAUGUCUACUACUUCAUGUAAUUCAAACAUUGUAUUACAAGGACUGACCAUAGUAGCGUGGGCUCAUACUAGAACGAUUGACUUUGCUUACACGUACAAAUAAUAGAAAGUGAAACCCCCGAUCGCGAAAUAUUUCGAAUGGAUAUAACUGGCGUGUUUCUGAACCAAAACCUUAUAUUUUUUGUAUACAGUUUAGAUAUGAUACACUUAGCAUACCUGUACAAGGAAAUUUUUAGAAACGGUUAUUAUACCGAAAUUUUUGGGACUACAAUUUUGGCUUAUUUUGUUUCAACGUGCACCGCAACAGGUGGUGACGGAAGUGACGUAGUUACGCACUUAAAAGAUAUUGCGCAUGACGAAAACUAUUUUUUCAACUGAUUUAUAUUAUUAAUCAUAUAUAUUAAAUAUAUGACAAGGUCAUACAGUAUUUUUAUGAUUAGUAUACAGUUUCAAAAUAACGCUCAUAUAAAUAUGCUCAUAUAAAUUGAAUUGAAUUGAAUUCUCCUUGAAUUGAAUUGUCACUUAUUGAAAGAAUUGUCACUUAUUUGAUAAUUCAUACAAAGCCUACGAAAUACAAGCCAAAAUGCACCGGUAUUUAUACUACAAAAAGGUCUAUAUUAACCGAAUUAACGAAACCGUUUCAGAGUUUAUUUAAAUUUACUGCCCCAUAAGUGCAUGUAUAGUUUAUUUUUGAAUUUAAAUAGUCUAUUGAUAUAUCUUAAGUCUGCACACACGGCGAAGACGAGUUUAAAUCGUGACCGGGUUUUGUAAAGACUGCCGUUUGGAUUUAUACAGUGCUUUAAUGCUUUAAUGAAAUACUCCUAAAACAGUAUUAUACUACACUAGGAGGAGUUUAUAUACUGAAAAACUAGAUAUUUAUUUACAAGAAAUUAGUCUUCAUAAUCACUGUAUGACACAUAUAUUAGGCAGUGAUUAUAGAAUGAUGUUGUUAUUACCUCGGGUCGGUACGACACCGAGGUCAUAAAUUCGGCUCCUAUUUUUUUUUUAAUUUUUUUUUUAUUGUUUUUCAUUUGUGUCGAGCCGCGCACGUAGUCGAAGGAGCCUGAGGAGGAGAUGACAACUUCCGGUAAAUAAGUGUACUUCCGGAUUAUUUCAAGCAUCGGCCAAAGCGAAACGGAACCCGAAGCUGUCCUUGCACAAAAUCCGUCAAAAAUUUUUAUUUAAAACCAGAAGAUGUGAUAAUGUUGACAUAGAUGUUUAGCUGGAUAACUAUUCUCGAGUAUAUGUUGAUAUAAUGCACAAUACUUCGUAUGCAUAGCAUGGGAAUACCGCGGCCAACUUUCACUUGUUAUCUAUUAUAAUUACUGACCCGAAUCAAAAGUAAUUAUUUUCGGCUGGAAGACUACUGUACUUUGCUGCUUGUCGGGACCGUAUGACAAUGAACCUAUCCAACGUUACACUAGACAUUUGUGAGGACAUGCAUAUAGACAUAACUAUAGGCACUGUAGUGCAUUGUGAUAGAACAGAUUUCAGUUUAAUUAAUCGCCCUAAAUUAAAAUCUCCACAAGCGGAGGUCAAUUAUAGUGUUCUAGUUUACAUAUUAUCAUUAAUGAUAAGGUUUACUCAAAUAGCGUAUUGGAUAAACACGGGAAUAGAACUGAUGGUGUAUUCUGCACAUGCGUAUAUCUAGGAUAAAAUCCCACAAGCGCAAACGAAACUAUUUCUCUAUAAAAUUGAACUGAAAAGACUCACAGCGACCGUUUCCAACAGUGCUUCAGGCACCCGACG